rnacentral:rRNA from 1 species
AUUGAACGCUGGCGGAAUGCUUUACACAUGCAAGUCGAGCGGCAGCGCGGCCUUCGGGCUGGCGGCGAGCGGCGAACGGGUGAGUAAUGCAUCGGAACAUGCCCAGUCGUGGGGGAUAACACUUCGAAAGAAGUGCUAAUACCGCAUACGUCCUGAGGGGGAAAGCGGGGGAUCGCAAGACCUCGCGCGAUUGGAGUGGCCGAUGUCAGAUUAGCUAGUUGGUGGGGUAAAGGCCUACCAAGGCGACGAUCUGUAGCUGGUCUGAGAGGAUGAUCAGCCACACUGGGACUGAGACACGGCCCAGACUCCUACGGGAGGCAGCAGUGGGGAAUUUUGGACAAUGGGGGCAACCCUGAUCCAGCCAUUCCGCGUGAGUGAAGAAGGCCUUCGGGUUGUAAAGCUCUUUCGGCGGGAACGAAACGGUGGGCUCUAACAUAGUCCGCUAAUGACGGUACCUGAAGAAGAAGCACCGGCUAACUACGUG